ACACGGGGGGGGCUAGCGUUGUUCGGAAUCACUGGGCGUAAAGGGUCCGUAGGCGGCCGCGUAAGUCGGAGGUGAAAGCCCUGGGCUUAACCCAGGAAUUGCCUUCGAAACUGUACGGCUAGAGUCCGGUAGAGGGAGACGGAAUUCCCGGUGUAGCGGUGAAAUGCGUAGAUAUCGGGAGGAACAUCUGUGGCGAAGGCGGUCUCCUGGGCCGGUACUGACGCUGAGGGACGAAAGCGUGGGGAGCAAACAGGAUUAGAUACCCCAGUAGUCC
rnacentral:rRNA from 1 species